UAGAUUGAGAUGAGAAUGAACCACUGGAAAAAGAGACCAUUCAAUAGAGUGAAUUAAAGAUUAUUCAACCAAAGAAACUUGCUGGAGAUAUCACUAUGUGAUGAAACUGAUACUUACACACCGAAAGAUCAGAAGCAAAUUCUUUUCUAAUAGAUUUUAUUCGAAUGAUGUUAAAAUCCAAAAGAAAAAACAAUGCAGCUAUAAUUUCAAGACUGUGACAUUGUUCUCUUUCAUUUCAUCAUUUUACAGCAUCUAGAAAUUUAGGGUGUACUGUUUAUGAUUUAAAGAGGAAAACAAACUUUUGCCUCUCAAUUUCUCUUCCUUUAUGCCAUCUAAUAUCCAUAUUUGUAAAAGCAGAAAAUGCCAUGGCAUGAGCUAUGCAGGCUACUAAGUCCAUCAAUCUGCUCAGUGGAUAAAUCCAAAUUAAACCACUCCCAAAAGAUGACCAUCCAGCUUCUGUUGAACGUAUCUAGCAAUAGGAAGCAUAUCACUGCUCUAGAUUGCUUUUUUGUGGUUCACCAAAUCCUUCUCUGGCAAACCCCUGUGAGAACAGUCAAACUGCUUCAAGACAUCAUGAAGUCGGAUAGCUGAAGGAAAUGAGAAGGCAGCUUUCAGAUCUUGAACUUCAAGUGAAUGGAAUCAGCAUGGAAUACAACUGCCUAAUGAAGAAUGUAGUAAAAACAGACAUUAAGAUGGAAAACUCUCCUCUUACAAUGUUUGCUUUGCAAUCUUUCAUCAUUUUGGUUCCAGAGAGAAAGUUUGUCACAUCUUAGCAGUUUCUUGACAGCUACAUAAAUUCAUCUGUACCAUUUGUUAUUGCCACGUACUCUUCACACUAAUGGAAAAUCAUAAUGAGGUACAAUCAGA